GCUAGCGUAGUGUAGUGGUUUGAGCACUGGACUAUGGCUCUGGUGACCAAGGUUCAAAUCCCUGCAUGGCCA